CAGUAGCCGCGGUAAUACGAAGGGGGCUAGCGUUGUUCGGAAUUACUGGGCGUAAAGCGCACGUAGGCGGAUAUUUAAGUCAGGGGUGAAAUCCCAGAGCUCAACUCUGGAACUGCCUUUGAUACUGGGUAUCUUGAGUAUGGAAGAGGUGAGUGGAAUUCCGAGUGUAGAGGUGAAAUUCGUAGAUAUUCGGAGGAACACCAGUGGCGAAGGCGGCUCACUGGUCCAUUACUGACGCUGAGGUGCGAAAGCGUGGGGAGCAAACAGGAUUAGAUACCCCAGUAGUCCCUGUCUCUUAUAC
rnacentral:rRNA from 1 species